rnacentral:rRNA from 1 species
AUUGAACGCUAGCGGCAGGCUUAACACAUGCAAGUCGAACGAGUGGCGGACGGGUGAGUAAUGUCUGGGAAACUGCCUGAUGGAGGGGGAUAACUCCUGGAAACGGUAGCUAAUACCGCAUACCAUCAGAUGGGCCCAUAUGGGAUUAGCUAGUUGGUGGGGUAAAGGCUCACCUAGGCGACGAUCCCUAGCUGGUCUGAGAGGAUGACCAGCCACACUGGAACUGAGACACGGUCCAGACUCCUACGGGAGGCAGCAGUGGGGAAUUUUGGACAAUGGGCGCAACCCUGAUGCAGCCAUGCCGCGUGUAUGAAGAAGGCCUUCGGGUUGUAAAGUACUUUCGGCGGUGAGGCGUUACCUGCAGAAGAAGCACCGGCUAACUCCGUGCCAGCCGCCGCGGUAAUAC